UGUCACCGAUUGAUCCAAAUUCGCCCCACUCCAAGACUAGUAAAAGUGCGUGUAAUGCACUCGCUCUUGGCACUUAACGGGACCGUCACCCGCGUGACGGCAGAUACCAGACCCACUCACGGAAGGUACGCUCCGUCAAACCCUCCCACACACACCUUCUCUCAACUCUCCAUUCUCUUUCCCUAACGUCCCCGACGACGCCGUAACGUCCUCCCUCACCGUUAUGGCCUCUUGCGACGACGACGACGACUUCUCUCUCCUCCGUGACGAUAACCACCACCUCCACCAGCCUUACGCCCCGCACCACCACUUCUCCCCCUCCGCCGUCGCCGUCGCUCCUGUCCCACCCAAAUCCGUUGCUGACGACGCCGACGACUAUGGAAACCCCUUCGACGACGACGGUGGCAGCGAAAAGCGGAAGGACCGGGAGGAGAUCGGCGAGGGAGCCACGUCGUACGGAUUCAACAAGAGAUCUAAGGCUCCGCAGUCGAGUGCAGGCAGUGCGGAGUACAGAAAGGACAGGGAGGAGUGGAGCGACACGGCCAUCGUGUGCCUCCUCGAGGCUUACACGGAGAAGUUCACACAGCUGAAUCGGGGAAACCUCAGAGGAAGGGAUUGGGAGGAGGUUGCGUUUGUGGUGAGCGAACGGUGCGAGAACCAAUCGAAGAGCGUGGAACAGUGUAAGAACAAGGUAGAUAACCUAAAAAAGAGGUACAAAUUGGAGCGACAAAGAAUGAGCAGUGGCUGCAUUUCUACCAGUCACUGGCCUUGGUUCAAACAAUUGGAGCAGAUCGUCGGGAAUUCUCUUCCGGCAAAAUUCUCUGAUGAGGAUAAAGCGGUUGUUUCUGCCGGAACUUCGCCCAGACAAUCGAAAAGAUAUGGAGUAGCAACACCCAGCACAGGUCAAGUGAAUAACAUUAGGUCAAAAGCACUGACAAACCUUAGAUGGCGGAGGGUAGUCUUCAAAAUUAGUGGAGCAGCUCUUACUGGAUCUGAUACCUGCAACAUGGACCCUAAGGUGGCUAUGUUAGUUUCAAGAGAAGUUGCCAUAGCUUCCCGCCUUGGUGUUGAGGUGGCGAUUGUUGUUGGAGGCUGUAAUUUCUUCUCUGGAGAUGCAUGGGUAAAUGCGACAGGUCUAGAAAGAUGCACUGCAUACCAAGUUGGCAUGAUGGCAACAGUGAUGAAUUCAAUAUUGCUCCAAUCGACUCUAGAGAAGAUGGGUGUUCAGACUCGUGUACAAACUUCAAUUGCCAUGCAGGAGUUUGCUGAACUAUACAAUAGGCAGCGGGCUAUCAGACAUCUUGAGAAAGGAAGAGUUAUUAUAUUUGGUGGCAUCAGUUUUGGUGCUGGCAAUCCACUUUUCUCAACUGACAUAGCUGCAGCUCUUCGUGCUUCAGAGCUUAAUGCUGAAGCAGUCCUCAAGGGUACUAAUGUAGACGGUGUGUAUGACUGCAACUCACGGGAUAACAAUUUCACUUUUGAGCACAUAUCCUUCAGAGAGCUGGGCUCAAGAGGAAUCACUUCUAUGGAUGCGUCAGCGCUGACUUUAUGCAAGGAAAAUGCCAUUCCUGUGGUGGUUUUUAAUCUACUGGAGCCUGGGAACAUCUCUAAAGCCUUAUGUGGAGAACAAGUUGGCACACUAAUUGAUCAAACUGGAGCAGUCGCAUGAGAUUUAAUUCAUGACAAUGCCAUUGAAGGGUUACCAGAUUAUUAGUUGCGGAUUCACGUCGCUUUCAAGACAAUGCCAUUGAACUGUGUACCAAUGUCCACCGCUGCAAACUCCAGAUGUACAACAUUAUACAAUUCAACAAGACAAUAAUUAUUAAGAGCAUCGAUAAUUCAGAUUUGUGUCACGUUCAACAAUGGAAUUCCACAGAACUCACAAAUUUUACAAAGAACAGUUAUAGCAAAAGCAAAAGGUAAUGUGCACUGAGAUAAUGCAACCAGAAAGAGGAGCUAAUCACUGCAGUGAAAUGGUGGGAAUGGAAGGUGAAAGCGAAUUGCGCGAUUCAUCAUAGUCCUCCCCAAGUGGCGAUUGCUCCACCCUGAUCUCCUCAACCAUUUUCACAACUUCUUCCAUAGUUGGCCUCUUCUCCGGCUGCGCCACCACACAGGCCAACCCCACAUGCAACAUGGACACAAGCUCUUCCUCGAUGUUCUUGUAGCGCAAAAGCUCCUGGUCAAACACCUCUGCGGUCCACUCUUCCUUCACGACGGAGCGAACCCAUUUGGGAAGGUCCACCACGGCCUGUUCCUCUUCCUCCAUUCUGGGACGAGCCGGUGAAGGGUACUGCGACGAAGGAGCUCUUCCUGUGAGAACUUCCAACAGCAACACCCCGAAGCUGUACACGUCAGCUUGCUGAGACAACCUCUUGUGCUGUUCCUGUUCGGGGGCCCUGUACCCUCCCAGUCGUGCAAUGGCGUGAACCGGGUUCAAGAGGAGUGAUAGCCCGAAGUCCGAGAUGCAGGCGACGCCGUUUUUGUCUAGAAGCACGUUCGAAGAUUUCACGUUCCCGUGAGGCACUUUUGCUGCACUGUACUCUGCGUGGAUCUUCGCUAGACCUCUUGCUGCUCCCAACACCAGGCUUAUUCUAGUAGUCCAAUCCAAUGGAAUCCUCCCCGGACCACGGUUCCCUAUCAUCGGUAUCCAACAAACCCACCACAAGACAAAAAUUUAAAUCACCUUAAAUUGUGAAAUUUGAUUUUCAGUUAAAUUAGUUCUAGUUCUUUCAGACUCGUAUAAGUUUCUUUUGGAGCAAUGCAGAGGUACAUAAAAGUUUGUUUA